rnacentral:rRNA from 1 species
GACGAACGCUGGCGGCGUGCUUAACACAUGCAAGUCGAACGGAAAGGCCCUGCUUUUGUGGGGUGCUCGAGUGGCGAACGGGUGAGUAACACGUGAGUAACCUGCCCUUGACUUUGGGAUAACUUCAGGGAACUGGGGCUAAUACCGGAUAGGAGCUCCUGCUGCAUGGUGGGGGUUGGAAAGUUUCGGCGGUUGGGGAUGGACUCGCGGCUUAUCAGCUUGUUGGUGGGGUAGUGGCUUACCAAGGCUUUGACGGGUAGCCGGCCUGAGAGGGUGACCGGCCACAUUGGGACUGAGAUACGGCCCAGACUCCUACGGGAGGCAGCAGUGGGGAAUAUUGCACAAUGGGCGGAAGCCUGAGGCAGCAACGCCGCGUGCGGGAUGACGGCCUUCGGGUUGUAAACCGCUUUCGCCUGUGACGAAGCGUGAGUGACGGUAAUGGGUAAAGAAGCACCGGCUAACUACGU